UACGUAGGUGGCAAGCGUUAUCCGGAAUUACUGGGCGUAAAGCGUGCGCAGGCGGUUCGUUGUGUCCGGUGUGAAAGCCCCGAGCUUAACUUGGGAAUGGCAUUGGAAACUGGCGAGCUGGAGUGUGGCAGAGGGGGGUGGAAUUCCACGUGUAGCAGUGAAAUGCGUAGAGAUGUGGAGGAACACCGAUGGCGAAGGCAGCCCCCCUGGGCCAACACUGACGCUCAGGCACGAAAGCGUGGGGAGCAAACAGG
rnacentral:rRNA from 1 species